rnacentral:rRNA from 2 species
UACGGAGGAUCCAAGCGUUAUCCGGAAUCAUUGGGUUUAAAGGGUCCGUAGGCGGUUUUGUAAGUCAGUGGUGAAAGCCCAUCGCUCAACGGUGGAACGGCCAUUGAUACUGCAAGACUUGAAUUAUUAGGAAGUAACUAGAAUAUGUAGUGUAGCGGUGAAAUGCUUAGAGAUUACAUGGAAUACCAAUUGCGAAGGCAGGUUACUACUAAUGGAUUGACGCUGAUGGACGAAAGCGUGGGUAGCGAACAGG